CAGCGGUGUUUAUCAUUUUAUGAUAAAGUAAAUCGGAAGUCGGUGAAAGUCCGACACAAUCGCCAUUACUGUAAUCGGCACUGUAUAGUGUGGAGCAACGCCAUUGUAACGAGAAGGCGCCUUAACCGAAAGUCAGGAGACGAGCCGUUGUUU
rnacentral:ncRNA from 1 species